rnacentral:rRNA from 1 species
GAUGAACGCUGGCGGCGUGCCUAAUACAUGCAAGUCGAGCGAACGGACGAGAAGCUUGCUUCUCUGAUGUUAGCGGCGGACGGGUGAGUAACACGUGGAUAACCUACCUAUAAGACUGGGAUAACUUCGGGAAACCGGAGCUAAUACCGGAUGAUAUUUUGAACCGCAUGGUUCAAAAGUGAAAGACGGUCUUGCUGUCACUUAUAGAUGGAUCCGCGCUGCAUUAGCUAGUUGGUAAGGUAACGGCUUACCAAGGCAACGAUGCAUAGCCGACCUGAGAGGGUGAUCGGCCACACUGGAACUGAGACACGGUCCAGACUCCUACGGGAGACAGCAGUAGGGAAUCUUCCGCAAUGGGCGAAAGCCUGACGGAGCAACGCCGCGUGAGUGAUGAAGGUCUUCGGAUCGUAAAACUCUGUUAUUAGGGAAGAACAUAUGUGUAAGUAACUGUGCACAUCUUGACGGUACCUAAUCAGAAAGCCACGGCUAACUACGUG